UUCUAUCUACUAAAAAGAGUUCCAAUGGACUAACCUUACUCUAUGUCAUAACUUUGAGAGAAUUUUAAGCAGCAUAGGGCGGUAAACAAACUCCUAAAACCAUCACCUAUGAUAUGAAG